UUACGACCCAUUAGCCCCUGAUUGAUAGCUUCUCUGAGGGCUAAUGCAUCACUAUUGCAGAAAACAAGAUAAAGGAGAAAAUGACGAUAAAUGAAUAAAACGCCACUUCUUAUUACUCAGAUCUGCGCUAUUUCAGUGACUGAUGCAGGAGAAUAACACACCACUGUGAGGGUGAGUCAGCUGAAUGCAAUUAAAAAAGCAUCAUUUUAUUAACCCUAGAACACUAUCAACGGGUGAUUUUCACCCGACCAAACAUGUUUAUGUGAUUUUCUUUGACAUCUUUGAAGGCAGAUUUGUUUCCCUGAUCCAAACCUGCUUUUUCUUACAGACACGUGUUCACAGGGUGAUUUUAGUGAUGGAGGGUAAAGUAGGUUUGGGUGGAUUUAAUAGCUGCAUGUAGGCGAAUAAGGUCAGUAAGAGUGGUCCUGGAAUUUACAUGCUAUCUUUAUUUAGCCCAGUGGUUAUGAAUAACUAUCACAAAGAUUUUAAGGGAAUUUAUAUGGCGAUAGGAAAUAUUUGAGUCAGCUGGUGAUUUUACUCCAAAUCUGCCGUAUUUUGGUUCUCUCUCCUGCAGCUGUUAUUGUGCCAAGAACCCUGAGUCUUCACCAGGGAGUGAAGCGCAGUAGUGUUGUGCGCAUUCGGCGGGAGAGUCGCCGAGAGUAGCUGUGAUGACGCUCGGCUCAAACAGCGUAUCCCCCAGGGUGAGCUACGCAAUCUCUGUCCUCCCAUAGGCUGUAUCAGGUGUCAAUCAUAGAAAACAUGAACCCCAUAAUAACUUUUAAAAAUGGAGCUGUACAGAAAAAAGAGGACCUGAGCACAAACCAGUCUUACUGUAACUACAUGUCAACAUCACAAGCGGAGGGGGAAAAAAUGCAUAUUCUGUGUAAUAAAUUUCUAAAGUUUGUUGGGUUUGGCGGGAUUUAUGACCUAUACUGCAGCCCGUCACCAGAGGGUGCUGUUCUCGGAGUGGCUUCACCCAGCGAGGAGGCAGACGGCGUCCAUUCUAUAUACAGUCUAUGGGGAAGACUCACAUGCCCCAGGAAUGGGUGGAAAAGAAACUAAGUUUACAGUUUCUAUAUAUUUUUCUUUUUAGUAAUUUUUUGUUGAUGAAUUUCAAUUAUUUUGUUGCAUUUUUUAUACGGUCCCCCUAUGGCACUUUUUUCCUCCCUUUGGACAUUACACAGUUAAAAAUAAGAGAAAACUACUUUAGUUUGUCAUGUUUUGUCCUAUUUUUAUAUAUUUUGAUGUCAAGUACUUUUUCUUGGGUAUUUUAUUUCAGGUUAAAAUCACCCGGCGAUAGCGACGGUGUUACUAAUUUUAGCGAUAGUGUUCUAGUUAAAGUCAGAGGUGGAGAUAAGAGAGUGUGUAACAACCUCACACUUUGCCUUUUUACAGCUGCGUGAACGGUCACUAUCUGCACCGUAGGCAGAGCAGUGGAGCAGUGUGGAGGUUCUUUGUGUUGCACUUGUUCUCAAAUACUCCUCUGCUUUGUUAGACCUUGCCUGUGCAAACACAGAAAGUUGUAAAUAUUUUAUAACUGUAGGUCUGAGAUGUUCGCAUUUACCUGCAGGGAGACUGGAGGCUGUUUUCUGGGUGUUUUUGUACCUUUACACAAAUUAAAUCGAGAUUUCCGUUCAAAUGACCAUGAUUCUAGUCGUUUUGGUACAUCUGUAAUCUAGAACCUUCUCUGAUAGGAACAUGAUAUCAGUCAGUCGGUGCCCAAGCAACCUCCUUCUGAACAGGCAGAAACUUUGAGCAGAACUCGACUCAUGGGUGAACCGCCAUCUGCUGCAUUUGUAACACAAACAACCACGGCCUGUUUCUGCUCCGUGCAUCCUAGACACCACCUUCAUUUCCCCUUUCAACCCCCACCACCCUCUUUGAAUUACAGCCUCCCCCCUCUCCCUCUCUUCCUCUCCUUUCUCCCCCCCUGACAGAGUGUCAGUGUGGGGCCCGGCCACUCUCCUGUCGUGAGGCCUGCAUUGAACGCCGGGUUAUUGCCCCCUAAUUAUCAAUUACAGAGCUCUGCUUCCACACCUGGAGCAGGCCAGGCUGGGAAUGAGCUUAGCCCAUUAGGAAGGACCUCCGGCUGGGCUGUUUAUGGAGGGGGCUGGGCGCUACCCUCCGGAGGUGUUAAUGGACCUUCCAGGGUUACAGUCAGCAGGCAGAUCCAUCACAGUUCCUGAUAACAGAGCCGGUCUCUCGCUCUAAUACUCAGGUUCAGGUGCUUUUGACGCUACAUAUACAGAUCUGUUAUUUUUGAGAUCAUUCAAAUUAAUUUUAAAAUGACACUUUGAGUGUUUAGAGAAGUCAUUAAAAUAGAAGUAAUAAUGCUUAUUAUUCUUAGACAUUUAUCAGAAAGGCUCGUCAAUGAUUGAACUCAUUUAAAGCAAGUUUUACUUCAGCUACUGGAAAUUUAAAGCAAUAAAAUAAACAGAAUUAACUUACAUACAAGAUCAUUUAAACAUGCACUAAUACAGAGAUGUCAAAGAAAAGGAGUUUGGUGCCUUGCUUGACGUCAUCUGGACCCUGCAGCCAGUCCUAACACCAUAUAUUGGUCUGAACUUGGACUUGAACCUGCAGCUUUCUGGUGUCUCUGCAGAUGGAGGUGCCGCAGCCGCUGUUAGAGUGUAGAAGUUCAUGCUGCUGAGAGGACUUCAGCUCCUCCUGACUUCUUGCAGAAAUUUGAUCAACUCCUGAAAAUGUCAGAAGUUUAGUGCAUGUAGGAACGGGGCUGAUUCUGCAUCGAAUGAGUCCACUGCAGAGCUGAUUCAGCUGCAUUUUAGCUUAAAGGCCCCAAAAGAAGAGGACAUGACAUGAAAUUUGUGCAAAUGAUUCUGUGAAGCGUCGCUGUUUUUAUGCUUGACAACUCUGUGCUACUUUCUGAUGCUGAAAAAUCCUUCAAAACACCAAUUUUAUCAUCGGAGGUUUCUGUUUUUUAGGGAAACUGCUCUCAGUUGAUGCCAUAAUUGUGAUUUUAAGUCUAUUUUUUAUUCUAGAAAUGCUCCAGCCUCAGUUUUAACGCAGUUACCUGCACAUUUCACUCAAUCUUCUUCAUUCAAAUCAUCAUUUCUUGUAGGUAAUGAUAUCUUUGUACACACCAGGUGAUGAAUUCAACAGGAGACAUGCAUAGAGCGCUGCUUUCAUGCAACCAUCUGCAUCCGCCAAUCUACUCUCGUCUCUCUGUUUGUGUAAAGAGACAUAAAAAUAGAUGUCUCUUCACCCUUGAAUGCAAAUAGAUUGACUCGGCCUCUUAUCAUCACAAUAGUCACUAUUUCAGGCCUGCGCUCUAUUCAACUGUUAGUGACGUUUAGGUGAAGGAGUCUGCUCGUGGCAGCCACGCUCUCUAUCAUCCAGCAGAUUGAAAUGAAAAUGAGGCAUUUCUGGAAAUAGCUGCAGGCAGACGGGGGGAGCUGAUAGUCGGGGGAUUGAGGGUGACAGAGGUGAAGAUAUAUGCUGCGACUUUCUGUGUAUUUUACAGCUCACGGCUUGUUUUGAGUCUCUGCCAUGCCGAGUGCUUCUGAGAUAUGUCACAGGUGUUAUGAUGGAUUGGAGAGCGAGGCAUGUGCCGCAUUAACUUUACUAUUGGUUUACACAGCGCGUUACACACACGCACAGAGAGGAGAUGUGUGCGCCUGUGAAUGCAAACACACAUCUGUAUCAUAGUAUGUCUAUUUCAGGUCCCCUCCCUCGCCCCAUCAGUCUUCCUGCGGGUGUGUACGUGUGAAACAUAGUGUGUGCGUUUGCAUAUUUUGAUGGCUGCAGAGCGGGAGAGGAAAUGAAUGACUCAGACGCUGUUCUGCAUUUAUUCUCUUAUUAUGAAGAUUUGUGGAUGAUCGAGGAGAGGCUUAUUGCAAAAGAUGUUUUGUUCUAGAAGGUCAUGACCUUUUGUCCUGCUGCAAAAAAUAUCUAUCUGUAGGUUUCUGCGCAUACAAAUGUGAUAAUAUUCUAUUAUGUUUUCAAUUAGCUAUCCUGCUAAUCACCUGGAUGUGUUAAAUACAUCUCACAUGUCAAAUCAAUCUGCAGCAAAGUGCCACAAACAUCACUCCAGUGGCAUUGGGUAACAAACUGGAGGGGAUUUUUAACAUCAUAAACCGAGAAAAGAUGACAGGAAGUGGGAAAAUGGUGCUGCAUGAGUAAAAGUAAAAGAGACAUCGAUCAAAUUGAAGAAAACAGGCCUGGAGCAAUCAGAAACUGCAACACAUUACGCAGAUGUCAUUUUCUGCAUGAAUUAAGAGUGCCAGCAGCAAAUAAUGUUAAUGUUUAGACUGUACUGUGAGUGAAAACGUCAAGUUCAGUGUUAAUAUGACCUGUAUGUAAGCUGAUAAGAAUUACCUGAGAUAUAUAUCAGACAACUCAAGAUAUGCUGCUGCCCCCCGAAGCUAAUGAAACUGUUUCAGCCCCAGGUAGUGGUGGGGGAGUGAGCUACACAACAUACAGUAUAACUGGUUUCCCAGACGAACAUCAUUAAAAAUAUUAAUAAUUCAUUCAUCUGUCUGGUAAUUCUGAUCAGUGAGGGUUAGACAUUCCAGACAUUGUGUAGCCCUGCGUUGUAAAACAGCAGCAGAGACAUGUCUCCAAAACUAAACAAAAGAUUUUUGCAGAUUUCUAGACUUUCUGGACUUAAAAAUAAAAAAAGAAUUCCUGCAAAUUCAGAAGGGCUCUCGCUCACUGUGUGCAAGGUCAGCUUGGGCCAAAAUAAAAAUAUCAUAGCAUAGUAUGAUAAAAAUGUCAGAGAAUGUCGUAUGAUAAAAAUAAAAAACGUCAUAGUAUAGUAUGUGAAUAAUUUUAUAUUUUUACUGUUAAAAAAAAUCCUAUUAGAAUAUUAAACAUAUUAGGUAUCAUGUGAUAAAAUUUUCAUAGUAUGGUAUGAUGAAAAUGUCAUGUUUUAGUAAGAUAAAAAAAUAGUAUUAUAAUAAGAAAAAUGUCAUAGUAAAGUAUGAUAAAAAUUUCUUAUUUGAGGGUGAUGAAAAUGGCACAUUUCUGUGUGAUAUUUUUAUAUUUUAGAGAGAAACAAAUGUCAUAGUAUAGCAUACUAAAAAUGUCAUAGUAUAAUAUGUUAAAAAUUGUCAUAGUAUAAUAUGUUAGAAAUGUCAUAGUAUAGUAUGUUAAAAAUGUCAUAGUUAAGAAUGAUAAAAAAGUCAUAGUAUAGUAUGUUAAAAUGUCAGUAUAGUAUGUUAAAAAUGUCAUAGUAUAGUAUGAUGAAAAAUGUCAUAGUAUGGUAUGUUAAAAAUGUCAUAGUAUAGUAUGCUAGAAAUGUCAUGGUAUAGUAUGUUAAAAAUGUCAUAGUAUAGUAUGUUAAAAAUGUCAUAGUAUAGUAUGUCAAAAAUGUCAUAGUAUAGUAUGUCAAAAAUGUCAUAGUAAAGUAUGUAGAAAAAUGUCAUAGUAUGUUAUGUUAAAAAUGUCAUAGUAUAGUAUGCUAGAAAUGUCAUGGUAUAGUAUGUUAAAAAUGUCAUAGUAUAGUAUGUUAAAAAUGUCAUAGUAUAGUAUGUUAAAAAUGUCAUAGUUAAGAAUGAUAAAAAAGUCAUAGUAAAGUAUGUUAAAAAUGUCAUAGUAUAGUAUGCUAGAAAUGUCAUGGUAUCGUAUGUUAUAAAUGUCAUAGUAUAGUAUGUUAAAAAUGUCAUAGUAUGGUAUGUUAAAAAUGUCAUAGUUAAGAAUGAUAAAAAAGUCAUAGUAUAGUAUGUUAAAAAUGUCAUAGUAUAGUAUGUCAAAAAUGUCAU
rnacentral:lncRNA from 1 species